AUUGAACGCUGGCGGCAUGCCUUACACAUGCAAGUCGAACGGCAGCACGGGGGCAACCCUGGUGGCGAGUGGCGAACGGGUGAGUAAUGCAUCGGAACGUACCCGGAAGUGGGGGAUAACGUAGCGAAAGUUACGCUAAUACCGCAUAUUCUGUGAGCAGGAAAGCAGGGGAUCGCAAGACCUUGCGCUUUCGGAGCGGCCGAUGUCGGAUUAGCUAGUUGGUGAGGUAAAAGCUCACCAAGGCGACGAUCCGUAGCUGGUCUUAGAGGAUGAUCAGCCACACUGGGACUGAGACACGGCCCAGACUCCUACGGGAGGCAGCAGUGGGGAAUUUUGGACAAUGGGCGAAAGCCUGAUCCAGCCAUGCCGCGUGAGUGAAGAAGGCC
rnacentral:rRNA from 1 species